AACGAAGUAAGCUUAGGUAGUCUUAUUACUGUCUAGGCAGACUCUGAAGCUGGGCGGCGUUGGGACCACUGAUUAUCAUGUUUCCACUCUAGCGGUGAUUUUCUGCUGUUCUCCGAUUGCUCUGCUCGUGCCAAAUUAAGCAAGGUAAACAAAUGGAGACUUGAAGAAGACACCACAGUGGAGAGAGAUGUAAAGAGUAAAGAGCUAUGCUACUUCAACAAUUAAGACGAAAUCCACACUUGAUGUGUCAAUCAACACUCUAUGAUCUAACUGAAGUUAGAAGAUCUACAUCUCCAAUCCUCUUUUCCUUCUCUGUUCAACUCAACUGAGCAAAUAUUCAACAUCUCGGAGGGCUUCAGAACGAGUGCGCCACAAAUCCAGGGCCAGAUGUACUGAGAUGGAGCAUCCAGAGGGUCCCCGAGAGCAGCCGAUGGGUGCCCCAAGGAGAGGACACGGCAGGAGGGACACUUUCUGUCCAUCAGACAGUAUGGGUGGGCCAGCGGCCAGUUGGGAAGGGAGCAUCGAGAAACGCUGCCGGGUAUGCGCGCUAAAGUGUCCCCAAACUACCAAAGUGAUGUUCACGUGCAGCUCACCCUGGGGAAGAAGCUCAGGUUGGCUGUUUGCUGGCUGCCACUCUCCUUCUCCCCUUCUUGCGAAAUUUCCAUAAUGAGUUUGGGGGGUGCGGAGAGCAAGGGGAAUGGGCUCUGCCUCACUGCACAGGUAGAAUGGAACUGUUGAGACUCAAGGUGCCUUGACCUCUCCAGACAAAGACCUAUUCCUACGGGUCAGAGGUCCAGUCCCUCCCUAGACUAGAGUCGUGUGCGAGUCAAGAAGACACUGAGGCCAGUUGAAACUGAUUAAUUCCAGCAGCCAUGCCCAGCAAAACUCUGGCCGCUCUCACUACCCAAACAUUUUGGAGCUGCCGUUUUCUCUUCAUUGUUUUGUCUGGUGCUUUACUUGUUGGUUGUCAGUGUUGCAUUGUUCUUUAGUUUUGGGUUUUGUGCGUGUGUGUGUUUUGUUUGUUUAAUCUUGCGACCUCCCCUAGAUACAGAUAUGGAUAUAGUUCAUUUGUUUGCUGAGCUUAGCCUGGGUGUAUUUUGUUGCUUGCAUCAAAAAGCUCUAACUGAUACAAGGGAGUUAAGUGGGAGACACGUGGGAGACGUCUCAAUCUUACGUAUUCUGGACUGUAUUGACAUAACACGGUGUGCCAGCUAACAUUUAAGAUGAGUGUGGGGUUGGUAGAAGUGUAGGUCACUUGCAUCAGAUGACUCCAUGCUGAAGAUGGCACCUGGUCUCACCAAACCCACAAAUUUGACCGCUGCGGAGAAGAACCCCCUUGGACUUCAUCCUCCUUUAAACCACAUGCUAUAUUGAAAUAAAAUUAGAGACCAAAAUACACACUUGAGUGUCUUUGGAGGACAGGUGAACUCCAACCUAGCACCUGAAACACCAUGGCUAAGGUCAUGGAGACAAAAGGACCCGAAGAGCAAUUUGAUGCAUCGAUAUCCAGAUGCCGAAUGCUCCCCCCACUGUCCUGUUUAUGCCCAGCUGCCACGCUGAUGGCUUGCAAUGGGACUUCUCAGCCCUUCCGGACGAGGACAUUUCACACAGUGGAUCCUCUGGGUCAUGAAGGUGCUAAGCAGAAGGGUGACCGGUUGCAGGUCAGUAAACUCUAAAAAGCAAGGAAUGCUAGUCUGCUACACACUUCGAAUGUGUUAUAGCAAACUUUCGCUGCGCCAAACAAGGGGAAUUUUCAUUCUUCAUAGAAGAAUAUGUGGAGAGGUAGAACUGGAGGUUGGUUUUCAUUGAGAAAUAAGUUUCUUAAUCACUGUCAGAUGACUGUACAGUCUUUCAUAUAGAGUCCUUAGAGGAAAUAAAAUUUCUAGUCCAAAGUUUUAGUCCAUUCUGGGUAUGGAAACUCAGCUUGGUCUAAUGUGUUGCAUAGUCAUUAUAACCCAACAUUAUCCGAAUUUCUGGGCAAGCCCGAUCAACAGCUGAUACAGCUCGUGUAUUAGUUUGCUGAUAGGCAUGGUGCCACUUGGUAGGAAUGCAUGACAAAAUACGAGCAACCAGGUGGCUCUAACAACAGGAAUUUAUUUUCUCACAUUUACAAGUCCAAGAUCAAAGUGUUGGCAGGGUUUGGUUCCUUCUGAGACUUGUCUCCCUGACUUGCAAAAACAUUUCUCACUGUGUCCUCGUUUGGUCUUUCCUUUGUACUCACACAUCCUAGUGUCUCUCUG